GUGUGCGGCGGCGGCGGCGGCGGCGGCGGCCGAGGGGGAUGGAGCGAGCGCCGAGCCGGGUCAGAGUUGAACAAUGACCAUAGUUGACAAAGCUUCUGAAUCUUCAGACCCAUCAGCCUAUCAGAAUCAGCCUGGCAGCUCCGAGGCAGUCUCACCUGGAGACAUGGAUGCAGGUUCUGCCAGCUGGGGUGCUGUGUCUUCAUUGAAUGAUGUGUCAAAUCACACACUUUCUUUAGGACCAGUACCUGGUGCUGUAGUUUAUUCGAGUUCAUCUGUACCUGAUAAAUCAAAACCAUCACCACAAAAGGAUCAAGCCCUAGGUGAUGGCAUCGCUCCUCCACAGAAAGUUCUUUUCCCAUCUGAGAAGAUUUGUCUUAAGUGGCAACAAACUCAUAGAGUUGGAGCUGGGCUCCAGAAUUUGGGCAAUACCUGUUUUGCCAAUGCAGCACUGCAGUGUUUAACCUACACACCACCUCUUGCCAAUUACAUGCUAUCACAUGAACACUCCAAAACAUGUCAUGCAGAAGGCUUUUGUAUGAUGUGUACAAUGCAAGCACAUAUUACCCAGGCACUCAGUAAUCCUGGGGACGUUAUUAAACCAAUGUUUGUCAUCAAUGAGAUGCGGCGUAUAGCUAGGCACUUCCGUUUUGGAAACCAAGAAGAUGCCCAUGAAUUCCUUCAAUACACUGUUGAUGCUAUGCAGAAAGCAUGCUUGAAUGGCAGCAAUAAAUUAGACAGACACACCCAGGCCACCACUCUUGUUUGUCAGAUAUUUGGAGGAUACCUAAGAUCUAGAGUCAAAUGUUUAAAUUGCAAGGGCGUUUCAGAUACUUUUGAUCCAUAUCUUGAUAUAACAUUGGAGAUAAAGGCUGCUCAGAGUGUCAACAAGGCAUUGGAGCAGUUUGUGAAGCCGGAACAGCUUGAUGGAGAAAACUCGUACAAGUGCAGCAAGUGUAAAAAGAUGGUUCCAGCUUCAAAGAGGUUCACUAUCCAUAGAUCCUCUAAUGUUCUUACACUUUCUCUGAAACGUUUUGCAAAUUUUACUGGUGGAAAAAUUGCUAAGGAUGUGAAAUACCCUGAGUAUCUUGAUAUUCGGCCAUAUAUGUCUCAACCCAACGGAGAGCCAAUUGUCUACGUCUUGUAUGCAGUGCUGGUCCACACUGGUUUUAAUUGCCAUGCUGGCCAUUACUUCUGCUACAUAAAAGCUAGCAAUGGCCUCUGGUAUCAAAUGAAUGACUCCAUUGUAUCUACCAGUGAUAUUAGAUCGGUACUCAGCCAACAAGCCUAUGUGCUCUUUUAUAUCAGGUCCCAUGAUGUGAAAAAUGGAGGUGAACUUACUCAUCCCACCCAUAGCCCCGGCCAGUCCUCUCCCCGCCCCGUCAUCAGUCAGCGGGUUGUCACCAACAAACAGGCUGCGCCAGGCUUUAUCGGACCACAGCUUCCCUCUCACAUGAUAAAGAAUCCACCUCACUUAAAUGGGACUGGACCAUUGAAAGACACGCCAAGCAGUUCCAUGUCGAGUCCUAACGGGAAUUCCAGUGUCAACAGGGCUAGUCCUGUUAAUGCUUCAGCUUCUGUCCAAAACUGGUCAGUUAAUAGGUCCUCAGUGAUCCCAGAACAUCCUAAGAAACAAAAAAUUACAAUCAGUAUUCACAACAAGUUGCCUGUUCGCCAGUGUCAGUCUCAACCUAACCUUCAUAGCAAUUCUUUGGAGAACCCUACCAAGCCCGUUCCCUCUUCUACCAUUACCAAUUCUGCAGUACAGUCUACCUCGAACGCAUCUACGAUGUCAGUUUCUAGUAAAGUAACAAAACCGAUCCCCCGCAGUGAAUCCUGCUCCCAGCCCAUGAUGAAUGGCAAAUCCAAGCUGAACUCCAGCGUGCUGGUGCCCUAUGGCGCCGAGUCCUCUGAGGACUCUGACGAGGAGUCGAAGGGGCUGGGCAAGGAGAAUGGGAUUGGUACGAUUGUGAGCUCCCACUCUCCCGGCCAAGAUGCCGAAGAUGAGGAGGCCACUCCGCACGAGCUCCAAGAACCCAUGACCCUAAACGGUGCUAAUAGUGCAGACAGUGACAGUGACCCGAAAGAAAAUGGCCUGCCGCCUGAUGGUGCCAGCUGCCAAGGCCAGCCUGCCCUGCACUCAGAAAAUCCCUUUGCUAAGGCAAACGGUCUUCCUGGAAAGUUGAUGCCUGCUCCUUUGCCGUCUCUCCCAGAAGACAAAAUCUUAGAGACCUUCAGGCUUAGCAACAAACUGAAAGGCUCGACGGAUGAAAUGAGUGCACCUGGAGCAGAGAGGGGCCCUCCCGAGGACCGCGACGCCGAGCCUCAGCCUGGCAGCCCCGCCGCCGAAUCCCUGGAGGAGCCAGAUGCGGCCGCCGGCCUCAGCAGCACCAAGAAGGCUCCGCCGCCCCCCGAUCCCGGCACCCCCGCUACCAAAGAAGGCGCCUGGGAGGCCAUGGCCGUCGCCCCCGAGGAGCCUCCGCCCAGCGCCGGCCAGGACAUCGUGGGGGACACAGCACCCCCUGACCUGUGUGAUCCCGAGAGCUUAACAGGCGACGCGAGCCCGUUGUCCCAGGAUGCAAAGGGGAUGAUCGCGGAGGGCCCGCGGGACUCGGCGUUGGCGGAAGCCCCGGAGGGGUUGAGUGCGGCUCCGCCUGCGCGGUCGGAGGAGCCCUGCGAGCAGCCACUCCUUGUUCACCCCAGCGGGGACCACGCCCGGGACGCUCAGGACCGAUCCCAGAGCUUGGGCGCACCGGAGGCCGCAGAGGGGCCGCCAGCUCCUGUGCUGGACAUGGCCCCGGCCGGUCACCCGGAAGGGGAUGCUGAGCCUAGUCCCGGCGAGAGGGUCGAGGACGCCACGGCGCCGAAAGCCCCAGGCCCUUCCCCAGCGAAGGAGAAAAUCGGCAGCCUCAGAAAGGUGGACCGAGGCCACUACCGCAGCCGGAGAGAGCGCUCGUCCAGCGGGGAGCCCGCCAGAGAGAGCAGGAGCAAGACUGAGGGCCACCGUCACCGGCGGCGCCGCACCUGCCCCCGGGAGCGCGACCGCCAGGACCGCCACGCCCCGGAGCACCACCCCGGCCACGGCGACAGGCUCAGCCCUGGCGAGCGCCGCUCUCUGGGCAGGUACAGUCACCACCACUCCCGACACCGGAGCGGGGCGGAGCCGGACUGGGUCAGACACCACUACACCGAGGGCGAGCAUGGCUGGGGCCGGGAGAAGUUCUACCCCGACAGGCCGCGCUGGGACAGGUGCCGGUACUACCAUGACAGGUACGCCCCGUACGCUGCCCGGGACUGGAAGCCCUUCCACGGUGGCCGCGAGCACGAGCGGGCCGGGCUGCACGAGCGGCCGCACAAGGACCACAACCGGGGCCGUAGGGGCUGCGAGCCGGCCCGGGAGAGGGAGCGGCACCGCCCCAGCAGCCCCCGCGCAGGCGCGCCCCACGCCCUCGCCCCGCACCCCGACCGCUUCUCCCACGACAGAACUGCACUUGUAGCCGGAGACAACUGUAACCUCUCUGAUCGGUUUCACGAACACGAAAAUGGAAAGUCCCGGAAACGGAGACACGACAGUGUGGAGAACAGUGACAGUCAUGUUGAAAAGAAAGCCCGGAGGAGCGAACAGAAGGAUCCUCUAGAAGAGCCUAAAGCGAAGAAGCACAAAAAAUCAAAGAAGAAAAAGAAAUCCAAAGACAAACACCGAGACCGCGACUCCAGGCAUCAGCAGGACUCAGAACUCUCAGCAGCGUGCUCUGACGCUGACCUCCACAGACACAAAAAAAAGAAGAAGAAAAAGAAGAGACAUUCAAGAAAAUCAGAGGACUUUGUUAAAGAUUCAGAACUGCACUUACCCAGGGUCGCCAGCUUGGAGACUGUCGCCCAGUUCCGGAGAGCCCAGGGUGGCUUUCCUCUCUCUGGUGGCCCGCCUCUGGAAGGCGUCGGACCUUUCCGUGAGAAAACGAAACACUUACGGAUGGAAAGCAGGGAUGACAGGUGUCGUCUCUUUGAGUAUGGCCAGGGUAAGAGGAGAUACUUGGAAUUAGGAAGAUAGAAACUAUUUCUUAAUACAUUUUCUUUGCAAAGGUGAUUAACAUGUAGAAAGAAAACCUCAGGUGGCAUCAAAGGGCACAGUUACUCAGAGCACCCCUGCCCUGCCUGGUCCGGCCUCAGUGCUCAUCCCUGCAGUGUGGUUCCGUUGCACAGUUUGGCUCCUUAGCACCAAGCCCUUAGCGUUUAUUGAAGGCCUAAGUGACACAGGACUGAGGGCAGCACUACCUGUGUCACCAAAGCCCUGGAACGUACAGCUCUGG
rnacentral:sRNA from 1 species